GUAGACACCGCGCCACCCGCUCCGGGACGCCGCCCAGCGACAAGGCCGCGGGGUCAGCGUGUCUGUACCGGUGCUGCAACGGGAGGGUCGGGCGGCGACGCUCUCACUGCCGGGCCAGAAGGAGGCCUCCCGGCUCCCUCACGCUAGAAGGGAGCUGGUUACCAGAGGUUUUCAGAGACGCCAAAGUUUUGCCAGGCCAAGGGAUCCUCCCAUCUCAGCCUCCCAAGUAGCUGGGAAUACAGGCACAUGCCACCAUGCCGGGCUAAUUUGUAAAUUUUUUGUAGAGAUGGGAUCUCCCUGUGUUGACCAGGCUGGUCUCAAACUGCUGAGUCCAAGCAGUCCUCCUGCCUCGGCCUCCCAAAGUGCUGGGAUUCCAGGCAUGAGCCCCUGCACCCUAUCCUUAAAUUCUUUUUUCAUGGUUUUAUUCAUCAUCCCAAGCUGUCUGGGCUCAAGGCGUUAGUAUCCCAUGCAAUGAGGGCCUAGAAGUUUCGUCUCCUGACAUCCUCCCCAGGCAGUCCCAUCGCUGGGUUUCAGAGGCCAUCAAGCCCAGCAGGCUUCAAAUCCCCCAACAGAGUCCCCCUUACCUGGGGCUGCCUGGGGAACUCCCAUCCCACUUCAACUUGAGCACCUUUGCCUUUGUAUUUUUAUUUAUUUACAUUUCCUGGUAAGAAUUUGUUGCAAGCACAUGAAAGAUUUUGUGGCUGAAGUAAUGUAAAACCAUUGAUCAAACCGGAAAUUGAGACACAGCCAGCGUCACACAACAGGCCAUCUGAAAGGCUGGAAUAGCAUCGAGGGAGUCUCCCUGGAACCAAGCAGCCAAGGCAGGCUAAUGGUGAAGGCCCAGGCACAGUAAUGGUCCCCUGGAGAUGGAGUCCUGCUCUGUCAUCCAUGCUGGAGUGCAGUGGCGUGAUCUCAGCUCACUGCAACCUCCGCCUCCUGGGUUCAAGUGAUUCUCCUGCCUCAGCCUCCCAAGUAGCUGGGAUUACAAGUGUGCACCAUCACACCCUGCUGAUUUUUGUAUUUUUAGUAGAGACAGGGUUUCACCAUGUUGGCCAGGCUGUUCUUGAACUCCUGGCCUAAAGCGAUCCACCCGCCUUGGCCUCCCAAAGUCCUGGGAUUACAGGCGUGAGCCACCGUACCUGACCCCUGUCCCUGAACAUUUGUCACAAUAUAUUAUGAGUGAAUGAGUAAGAACUCUAUUUUAGUGGUCACCUUCUUUGUGCUAGUCAUUAAGUUUAAGGUAUCUCGCUUAAUAUUCUCCAGAACCCUGUGAGAUAGGCAUUAUUUUAUUCUCAUGUGACAUGUAGAGAAACAGGUUCAGAAAGGGGAAGCGAAAGUCCAAAGCAGUGAAUCUGCGGUGGGUCUCCUGGCCCCAGAAUUGCAGCCUGAUGGGAAGGAAGGCCCUGCUGAGUUCCCAGAGUUAUGGCUGGGUCAUGGCAUUGGGACCCACACUGGCAGCUCCAGUUACACAGGGCUGGGCUGGCUCUAGCAGCCUUGUCUUACUUGCUCCCUGAACUGCUGCAUUGACCUGCACCAUCCUCCCUUCCCUUGCCAGCCGAGAACUGUGCUCCUCAGGUUUCCUGGGCAGGGUCCAGGGCUCUGAUGCCAAACGCAGCCUGGAAACUCUAGCUCUCAGCAUGCCAGGAUGCGGGCACCCAAGUGAGGCCGCCUGGGAUGCAGGAAGCUUAGUCCAGGCCUGGGCAUGCCUCUGUUCCAUCUCCCCUCAAGCAGGACCAGCUACUUAAUCUGCGGGACCCAGAGCAGAAUGAAAAUGUGGGCCCCUCAUUCAAAAAUUUAAAAUUUCCAACAAAAGAAUGAAAAAAUAAGAAAAAAUUAAGAAUUUCAAGAUGGUGAUAGCAGAGUAUUUAACACUUCAAAUCAUGACCCUUACUGUCCAGGUCACAUGCCCACAAAGUCAGCCCUGUCGUCAGGCCUUGGUUUCCUUGUCUGUCAAGUGGGAGAAUGGUAGCCACUGGCCAAAAGGGUGAGGGUGAGAAUGAGGUGGGAGCUGGUGGUAAGAGGUCCAGUGAACAGCAUGAGGAUGAGGUAAGAGUCUCCAAGUUCAUGAUUUGUUAUCUGGGUCUCAGCACCGGGUGGCAGGCCAAACUCCUUGCCAGGAGUUUGAUUGCUUACAACAGCUCUUUUUCACAGAACCAAAAAACUAAAAAUCCAUGAAGCAAAGUAACUUGCUCAGGGUCACACAGAGACUCAGUGGGGGAAGCCAAGAUCAGAGUUCUGGCCUGGCUCUCUUCGAAGCUGGUGCUUUUUGUGACCCAGGCAGGAGAGAGAGAAGCGCAGGAGGGAGGUGGGAUGGGGACAGGCUGCUCAGGACAAAGAGGGCCACUGUGCAGACACAAAGACCUGACCACAGAGGCCCCUCUGGGGGCUGGGACAGACAAAUGGAUGGAGCCCUGUGACUCUAUCUGUGGUGACUGGGGUAGCUGCCAGGAGCUGCCUCCUAGACCCUACCUGGUUGUGAUGAGGGUUGGGGAGGGUGUUGGUGUGCAGGAACCAGGAAAUGGGUCAGGGAGGAGAAACAAACUCAGAGAUGGGCCCCUUCCCCACUCCCCAGGCCUCUGACCCCAUCUCCCCCUAGCUCCUCCUGGGCAGCCUGCCAGCUUAUGGAAUCUCCCACAAACCAUCCACCGCCCCACAUUCCUCCUUCUCAGUGAGGGUGAGGCUCAGGCAACUCACUGUCUGGCAGUCCCAGCCUCACAAUACUUCUGACCCUUCCCCAUCACCAGUGGCAGGAUGAAGCAUAUGCCCUCGGCGCAGUGUCCUUCAGGGCCCUGUGUGACCUGCCCUGCUGACCUUUCUUCACUCACCUGUCCCCACUCCUCCUCAGCCUUCUACGCUGCAGUCACAUGGAACGUCCCACCAUUCUCCAAACACUCUGUCCUUUCAUACACACACCCCCAUGUUGGCUCAUGCUUUUCCUUCUUCCUGGGGGGCUGUUUCCCCUGCUCCAGUAGACUGAAAUCCCAUUUCUCCUCCAUGAACCAGCUCAAAUGCCACCUCCAGUAGCCAGCUUUCCUCCAUGCCCACAGUUGGGUUUAGCUUCGCUCAUUAACCUGUUAAUCUACACAUGUUGGGUUCACCCACUCUAGCGGUGCUCCUCCCACGCUGGCUUGUGUUGUAGUUGUUCCAAUCCACAAAGCCUACCUGGAAGAGGGGACCUUUGAGCUGAGCCUUACAGGACAGGUGGACUUCACUAGUGAAUGUCAGUGGUAAGAAGUGACAGGAGCUCAAAGAAUCAGGGAUAUCAGCCCUAUCUCCAAAAUUUUAUCUGCAUCAGCCAGGUUGCUGAGUUCAAAUAGCAAGGAGUCUAUAGUUCAGAAUGGCAGGAGUUGAGUGUGCAGGGACACUGUCAAGGGAUAAAGUUAAGAGGUUCACCAGGGCCAAGCCACGAAGGGUUUUAUAAUGCCAUACUAAGGAAUUUUUUUGCUUGCUUGUUUAAAACACAUUUGAAUUUAUUUCUCAGCUCUAUAGUUUACUAAGUAAUUAAGUUCUGGCUUUUAUCUUUACUAUUUUCUCCCUCUUAAUUACCUUGGGUAGCUUUUCUGUUCUUUUUCUACAAGCUUAUUAAAGUGAAUACUUAGGCUGGGUGCGGUGGCUCAUGCCUGUAAUCCUAGCACUUUGGGAGGCCGAGGUGGGUGGAUCACUUGAGGCCAGGAGUUUGACUGGCCUGGCCAACAUGAUGAAACCCCGUCCCUACUAAAAAUACAAAAAUUAGCCGGUCAUGGUGGCACACGCUUGUAAUUCCAGCUACUCGGGAGGCUGAGGCGUGAAAAUCACUUGAACCCAGGAGUUGGAGGUUGCAGUGAGCCAAGAUCAUGCCGCUGUACUCCAGCCUGAGUGACAGAGCAAGACUCUGUCUCAAAAUAAAUAAAUAAAUAAAUAAAUAAAUGUGAAUACCUAUUUUGUUGUCAUUCUUUUUCAAUAAUGUAAGCAUUUUUAAGGCUAUCAUUUCCCUCUGAAUUCAGCU
rnacentral:lncRNA from 1 species